rnacentral:lncRNA from 1 species
UAGACAUCAAGUAAUUAAUGAUGAAUGAUAUUGAAAAAUUAGAUACAGUUUUGAUGAGGACAUGCAUUGAUGUUGAGGCAAAGUGAAGAUAUCAACUAAAAGACUACAUAUAAUUUGCGGGGGUCACUAGAGAGGAGUCAACAGCUUACUGAGCUUUUCGGUGUUUCAGACCAAGCGGCAAAGGAACAAUCAGCUCAGUGGUGAUCUCCCACAGCUUUUUACCCACUGCCAUUUUCAUGUGAAAUGCCACUAGUCCAAUUCGUGGGAGGAUAAAGAGUUGACCAAAAUUAAUAAAUUCAGGACCUAACAGAUGACAUGAUUGUUGCAUAUCCUAAUCUUUGCAUGCUAUCUAUGCAAAAGAUGAAUGGUUGUGAUUCAACAUAUAAACAUCCUCGCAAAAUGAUUUAGUUCAUAAACUGUUUGGUCGUCUAACAAUGUGAGCACAAAAAAAAAAAAAAAAACACAUUUUGUUAGAGAAAAUUAAACAAAAAUAUAUAUAAGGUAGAAAAGGAGAGUGUGGGCGAUGACCCAUAGUAGCAUGAGUUAGGUCCCCCACCGCCAUUUCCAUGGAUGGUAAGGAGUAACAACAGGGUAUUGCGAAGGGUAAAGAGAAAAGGUGAAGUACUAGAGCGCUGGAUGGAAGGUGAUAUAGAAACACUGGAGGACCCAAUACAUGCUUGUUGUGGGCAGCUGCUGACACUUAUAAUUGUUUUCUUCACCCGUUUAAAUUGGCCGCUGACAUCACACUAACGUCAGCUUGCCCAUGCACCAGCCCACACAAGUUUUGCCUUUGGGCUUGUCCAGUUUCCUGGAGCCCACUUCUUGUCAUGGCAAUUUUUCCUCAGUGGGGGAUUGUUUUGGAGCCUAGCCCCUUUUUGCCAUGGCAAAUGCGAAUCGAUGGAAAUGCUCUUAUAGUAAAACUCGCACGAUAUUGAAAUUUGAAUUGUCCAAACACAAAACAAUAAAUAAUAUUGGAAAAGACAUAGCUGAGCGACAACUCGCAAAGAAACGAAACUAUACACCAAAAUUUUAUAACGAUAGUCAAAUGUAUUGCGUAGGUUUUCUGAUAAGGUGCUCAAGCUCAAUGACCAGUCAUGUUUUUACUCACCACGAUAUAUUUCUAGCUAGGUUAAAUUUCUUAAGAAUAACUAAUAGUCGCGUGAAGCUCAAGCCGCACUCUUAAUAAUUUACUGUUUUUGAAAAAUGAAAAUUGUGUCACAAAAUUUUAGGCCAAGGUGGCUGACAACACUACUACAAAAUAGUUAAACCACGACAUGAAAUAGACAACGGUGUAUCUUAAAAUCGUUGUUGUGUUUUAAAAGAUGACGGUCUUAUCUUAUACACUACUAGUGUUGGGUUGAUUUUUAAAAGACGACGCUUGUCACUGACAAGCGUCAUUUUUUUAAAACACGCUAAACAAAAAAAUGCCGCUUAACUAAAUUCGCGCUCGACCUAAAUUUUCAGAUUUCCCUCCUUGAAUCACGAAACUCUCUGAAACACUCCCUCUCACACAUCUUGAGCACUCAUCUCCCUACAAAAUCAUCAGAAAAUCGAUAUCACGAAGGAGUUGAGAGACUGAGGUCUUUGCAGAUCCACAAGAUGGAGACACUACUACAAAAAACCAAAAAGACGACGGUAAAUCACCGUCGUGUAUUCGGUUUUUCAAUGGUCGUGGAAUCCACCGUCAUCUUUUCCCUC